AUGCAUGUCUAAGUACAGCUCGGUGGAGCAAUCUACCGGGCGAAACCGCGGACGGCUCAUUAAAUCAGUCGUGGUCUAAAUGGGCUAAAGUUUCCUUUUGGAUAACUGUGGAAAAUCCAGAGCUAAUACAUGCAAUUUACGAGUCCUGAGCCAAAUUCUGUUAGUUAUCUUGUAUGAUUAACAGUCGAGUAACUCGGGAUGCUUUUAUUAGACCGAGGCGCGCGCAUGCUCGGUUUAGCCUUUUGAUUUCUUUUAGAAUUUGACUGGCGGCCGUUUGUGUGUCGUUGUGUAAGCGCUUAAUGGUGAACCCUGGAUAACACUUGAUGAGCGUGCCUUAUUGGCACGCCGCCUUCUUACGAGUGACUGCCCUAUCAGCUAGUAACGUAUGUUAUACGCGAACGCUGGCUAUAACGGGUAACGGGGAAUCAGAGUUCGAUUCCGGAGAGGCAGCCUGAGAAACGGCUACCACG
rnacentral:rRNA from 1 species